AAAAGAUAAUAUUUGAAUUUCUAUCACCAAUGAAAACAAAAGAAAUUUUACCUUUACAGAAUUCCACAAUAGAAAAAUCUAUAAACCUAAUAGAUAGAAAACAAAAACAUGUUCUAUACUUAUAACAAGAAAUAAAAUACCAACAAAUAGAACAACAAUUACAUGAUCCACAAAUAAUAAAAAAGUUAAAAAAAAAUAGAAACUGAACUCUUAACCCAAAUAUGCUAUGAACUUCCAAAUGCAUUCUAGGAGAGGAAAAAACAUAUUGUUGAAAUACCUUUCGGAAAAGACUUCAACGAAAAGCAUAUUCCAACUAAAGCUAGGCCCAAUCAAAUGAACCAGGGUUAUGUCC
rnacentral:lncRNA from 1 species